rnacentral:rRNA from 1 species
GGAGUUAGCCGGUGCUUCUUCUGCGAGUAACGUCACAGAUGUAAGGUAUUAACUUACACCCUUUCCUCCUCGCUGAAAGUGCUUUACAACCCGAAGGCCUUCUUCACACACGCGGCAUGGCUGCAUCAGGGUUUCCCCCAUUGUGCAAUAUUCCCCACUGCUGCCUCCCGUAGGAGUCUGGGCCGUGUCUCAGUCCCAGUGUGGCUGAUCAUCCUCUCAGACCAGCUAGGGAUCGUCGCCUAGGUGAGCCUUUACCUCACCUACUAGCUAAUCCCACCUGGGCUUAUCCAUCAGCGCAAGGCCCGAAGGUCCCCUGCUUUCCCCCGUAGGGCGUAUGCGGUAUUAGCAGUCGUUUCCAACUGUUAUCCCCACAAAUGGGCAAAUUCCCAGGCAUUACUCACCCGUCCGCCGCUCGUCAUCUUCAAAAGCAAGCUUUUGAAAUGUUACCGCUCGACUUGCAUGUNUUAGGCCUGCCGCCAGCGUUCAAUCUGAGCCAGGAUCAAACUCUGA